CGGUGAUCUAUCCAUGGGCAGGUUGAAGGUUGGGUAACACUAACUGGAGGACCGAACCGACUAAUGUUGAAAAAUUAGCGGAUGACUUGUGGAUGGGGGUGAAAGGCCAAUCAAACCGGGAGAUAGCUGGUUCUCCCCCGAAAGCUAUUUAGGUAGCGCCUCGUGAACUCAUCUUCGGGGGUAGAGCACUGUUUCGACUAGGGGUCAUCCCGACUUACCAACUCGAUGCAAACU
rnacentral:rRNA from 1 species